GACGAACGCUGGAGGCGUGCUUAACACAUGCAAGUCGAACGAUGAAAUGGAGCUUGCUCCAUGGAUUAGUGGCGAACGGGUGAGUAACACGUGAAUAACCUGCCCUUAAUUUUGGAAUAACCCAGGGAAACCUGGGCUAAUACCGGAUAAGUAAACCUGUGGCAUCACAUGGUUUUGGAAAGUUUUUCGAUUAAGGAUGGAUUCGCGGCCUAUCAUCUUGUUGGUGAGGUAAUGGCCCACCAAGGCGACGCCGGGUAGCCGGCCUGAGAGGGUGAACGGCCACACGGGGACUGAGACACGGCCCAGACUCCGACGGGAGGCAGCAGUGGGGAAUAUUGCGCAAUGGACGAAAGUCUGACGCAGCGACGCCUCGUGAGGGACGAAGGUCUUCGGAUUGUAAACCUCUUUCAGCAGGGACGAAGCGAAAGUGACGGUACCUGCAGAAGAAGCACCGGCUAACUAUGUGCCAGCAGCCGCGGUAA
rnacentral:rRNA from 1 species